rnacentral:rRNA from 1 species
UACGUAGGGUGCGAGCGUUGUCCGGAAUUAUUGGGCGUAAAGAGCUCGUAGGCGGUCUGUCGCGUCGGUCGUGAAAACUUGGGGCUUAACCCUGAGCUUGCGGUCGAUACGGGCAUGACUGGAGUUCGGUAGGGGAGACUGGAAUUCCUGGUGUAGCGGUGAAAUGUGCAGAUAUCAGGAGGAACACCGGUGGCGAAGGCGGGUCUCUGGGCCGAUACUGACGCUGAGGAGCGAAAGCGUGGGGAGCGAACAGG